UACGUAGGGGGCGAGCGUUGUCCGGAUUUAUUGGGCGUAAAGAGCGUGUAGGCGGCCAGGUAGGUCCGUUGUGAAAACUCGAGGCUCAACCUCGAGACGUCGAUGGAAACCAUCUGGCUAGAGUCCGGAAGAGGAGAGUGGAAUUCCUGGUGUAGCGGUGAAAUGCGCAGAUAUCAGGAAGAACACCUAUGGCGAAGGCAGCUCUCUGGGACGGUACUGACGCUGAGGCGCGAAAGCGUGGGGAGCGAACAGG
rnacentral:rRNA from 1 species